UGUUGAGCUUGACUCUAGUCCGACACCGUGAGUCGACUUGAGGGGUGUAGAAUAAGUGGGAGGGUUCGCCCGCCGGUGAAAUACCACUACCUUCAAUGUUGAUUCACUUAUUCAAUGGGGCGGGGCUGUACUUCGGUGCACCUUGUGGCUCUAAGCGCUGCCUUUGGUGGCGUGACCCGCGUUGAAGACGCUGUCAGGUGGGGAGUUUGGCUGGGCGGCACAUCUGUUAAAAGAU
rnacentral:rRNA from 12 species